rnacentral:RNase_P_RNA from 1 species
GCAGGCGGCUGGAUGAUCGCUGCCGCUCGUGGUUCGCUCUCCUCGCCGAGAGCGUUGCAUCGAGCGGGGGAGGAAAGUCCGGACUCCGCAGGGCAGUGUGCCGGAUAACGUCCGGGAUCUGUGCUUCAAGGCACAGAGACGGCCAGUGCAACAGAGAAGAUACCGCCGCAUCUCGCAAGAGAUGCGGUAAGGGUGAAAAGGUGCGGUAAGAGCGCACCGGACGGGCAGUAAUGUCCGCCGCAUGGUAAACCCCACACGGAGCAAGACCAAAUAGGCAGGAAGUUCGGCCGCCUCUCUUCAGGCGACCGGCGCGUAUCGGCCCGAUGCGCUCAGGGGAAGAGCUUCGGUCGACCCGUUCGCGGGCCGACAACCGAAACUUGCGGGUAGGUUGCUGGAGCGGCGCGGUAACACGUCGCCUAGAGGAAUGAUCGUCUAAAACAAAAUCCGGCUUACGGGCCGCCUGCAAAC